rnacentral:rRNA from 1 species
CCUACGGGAGGCAGCAGUGGGGAAUAUUGGUCAAUGGCCGAAAGCCUGAACCAGCCAAGUGGCGUGAGGGAUGAGGGCUCUAUGGCUUGUAAACCUCUUUUAUAAGGGAAUAAAGCGAGGGACGUGUUCCUUUUUGUAUGUACUUUAUGAAUAAGGAUCGGCUAACUCCGUGCCAGCAGCCGCGGUAAUACGGAGGAUCCGAGCGUUAUCCGGAUUUAUUGGGUUUAAGGGGAGCGUAGAUGGGUUGUUAAGUCAGUUGUGAAAGUUUGCGGCUCAACCGUAAAAUUGUAAUUGAUACUGGCAGCUAUGAGGACAGUUGAGGUAGGGGGAAUUCGUGGGGUAGCGGUGAAAUGCUUAGAUAACACGAAGAACUCCGAUUGCGAAGGCAGCUUACUAAACUGUCACUGACAUUGAUGCUCGAAAGUGUGGGUAUCAAACAGGAUUAGAUACCCCAGUAGUC